rnacentral:rRNA from 1 species
UCAGGACGAACGCUGGCGGCGUGCUUAACACAUGCAAGUCGAACGCUGAAGCACCAGCUUGCUGGUGUGGAUGAGUGGCGAACGGGUGAGUAAUACGUGAGUAACCUGCCCUUGACUCUGGGAUAAGCCCGGGAAACUGGGUCUAAUACUGGAUGCUACAUGUCACCGCAUGGUGGUGUGUGGAAAGGGUUUACUGGUCUUGGAUGGGCUCACGGCCUAUCAGCUUGUUGGUGAGGUAAUGGCUCACCAAGGCGACGACGGGUAGCCGGCCUGAGAGGGUGACCGGCCACACUGGGACUGAGACACGGCCCAGACUCCUACGGGAGGCAGCAGUGGGGAAUAUUGCACAAUGGGCGAAAGCCUGAUGCAGCGACGCCGCGUGAGGGAUGACGGCCUUCGGGUUGUAAACCUCUUUCAGCAGGGAAGAAGCCACAAGUGACGGUACCUGCAGAAGAAGCGCCGGCUAACUACGUGCCAGCAGCCGCGGUAAUACGUAGGGCGCAAGCGUUGUCCGGAAUUAUUGGGCGUAAAGAGCUCGUAGGCGGUUUGUCGCGUCUGCUGUGAAAGCCCGGGGCUUAACCCCGGGUGUGCAGUGGGUACGGGCAGACUAGAGUGCAGUAGGGGAGACUGGAAUUCCUGGUGUAGCGGUGGAAUGCGCAGAUAUCAGGAGGAACACCGAUGGCGAAGGCAGGUCUCUGGGCUGUUACUGACGCUGAGGAGCGAAAGCAUGGGGAGCGAACAGGAUUAGAUACCCUGGUAGUCCAUGCCGUAAACGUUGGGCACUAGGUGUGGGGGACAUUCCACGUUUUCCGCGCCGUAGCUAACGCAUUAA